AACAUAUAGUGGGGUUAGGGUCUGAAAAAACUCAUAAAGUUAGUGCUGUUUAUCAGGUUCUUCUCAACGAGAUUGGGCUUAAAUCACAGCACGACAUUU
rnacentral:snoRNA from 1 species